rnacentral:sRNA from 1 species
CAAAUCCGCCGCUAAAUCCGGAAUCAGGAGCAAAUUUUCAGCCUUUCGCGCUGUAGAGCCCUAUGCCGCCCAGUGGGCUACUCCUUCACCACUUCUGAUUCAAUUGCAGUUCAGCCUGCAAUCUGCAAUCAUCAUCUGAAAUGACGUCGUCGCCUCGACAAUUUAUCCUGUUUUUAUAUUGAGCGCCAUUUUGUUACGAACUGCUUUCUUUCCUUAGUGGCAGUGCUGCUAGCUCUGGCUUUUUUCAGGGCAGAGUUUUCCGGAGCAUCGAUAACUAUCGAAGUCUCACGCCUCUACAUACCUACGAUCUCCUACAAGCAGACAAACAGAAAAAGAUGCUAUGACCAUGCGCACCCACCCGACCUAGGAUGCCCUAAGGAUUUUGCGGAUUUAGCUAAUUUUGCAUCACCCAUUAUCAAUACGUCGAUGUCGACGACCAGACGACCAGGACAGCUCCAUCUUCCCUACAGUGAUCACUCACUCGAACAUUUCGCCCUCAUCAGGCAGCGAUCACCCUUGAUCGUCGACUGCUUUUUAAACGGUAUAAGCAACAAGUUCAGGAAUCCUCUAAGGUCUACAAAUCACCGUAGAAAAUUGUCCCGCAAUUUUCGGUGCUUAUAAUGAGUGCAAUACAAUAGACGUAUUCACAUACGCAGGGUCACCUAAUCCUGACGAGCUCCAGUGGAUGCGAACUAAACGUGUGAAGUUGCUUCCCCUGUCAGACUAACUAACUUUUCGCGACCCAAAUUUAGUGCAGUUGAACGCGGUUGGCGGCCGUUGAAAACAAUUGUGGCGGUCGUCGCCUUUGGAUUGUCCAAGGAAUCUACGGGAGUCAAGGGAGGUUGCCCUGGAAGACUCCUAAUCCAACGAACGUGGCCCUCCCUGCGCUCAGCUAUUCGAAUGUUUGGAACUGACUCACCGGCGGAAUCGGGAUCGCCUCGGGGCAGAUGGUGACGCCCCAGUGGACGAAUAAGUUCCCGUCGGUAUGGCUGCGAUUGAGUUAUGAUUUUCAUUUAUGGUCUCCGCCAUAUUCCUAAUCCUCUCCCGACUUGGGUCAUUGGACAUAAUCCAUCUGUCUUAUAAGCAAUCUGUUUAAGAUAACAGACCACCACAUCUCAUAUAAUCGUCCACUACCAAAUAGAUCCUACGCUUUCAUAAACGACCUAAUAAAUAAAGUCCAAUCACUUAAUAUGAAA